UGGUUUUCAUAGAGAGCAAAACUCAACCAGUGAAGCCAGUCAGCCACGGGCAAAUUAAUUCAUUACAGGCAAUUAGUUAAAAUGCUUGGUAGCAGAAGAGAAAAAGACGAAACAUGGUGAUGUGAAACCAAAGAUGUGAAUGUCUGCGUGGCCAAGGAGCUCAUGUUAUUUUCCUGCCGUGGUGUCGCCCAGGGGAGAUUGGAGCCAAAAAGUGGCAUCAACCUGCAGACCUAAUCCUCUGCUCCUGCACUCCCAACACCAUCUGUCUGUUGUUACGGAUAGACUGGAUCACAGACUAUAUGAAAAGAUGGAGGACAUGACUGCUGCCUAAAAGGGAAGCCAAAAACUCAAACAUCCUGCCAACAAAGCCUGCCUGCUCCAUGAUAACAGAUGGGACAUGGGGCAAAAUAUAAAAUCAAACACACAUUAAAAAGGCAUCCCUCAAA